rnacentral:lncRNA from 1 species
AUGAGUAUACGAAAAAAAGAUAUUAUGUCUAAUAAAGGGUUAUUAAAUAGUUGGGAUAAUUUUGAGCAAUUAGAUAACCCAAGUGAAGAAUUCGGAACCGACGCAGUAACAGGUAAACAAAAUAAUUUCGUCACUAACGAUAGUAAUGGCAACAAUAUCGAUUAUAAUAAUGACCAAAAUAAACACGUUUCUUUUAAACAUGGUAUAUCAGGUAUACUAAAAAAUAAUAAUAAUAAUAAUAAUAAUAAUAACAUACAUUAUAAGGAUGGUAAGUUUCGUAGUAAUAGUAUAAUGUUACUUCAAGGGGAUGAAGAUUAUACGCUAUUCGAGGAACAAUUAAUAAUUACUAUUCCAAACUGUGAUUUACUUAGUCAUAAAAAUAAAAUAUACAACGAUAAUUUUUAUAUGUAUAUUUCUAGUAGUGAUGACGAUAGUGAUGACGAUAGUGAUGACGAUAGUGAUGAUGAUAGUGAUGAUGAUAGUGGUGAAAAAAAAAGUGGCGAGGAAAAAAAAAUAUUGAUAAAAAAAAAAGGGACAAGCACUACAGAGUCACCCAAUUUAGUUGGAAAAGCAAAAACAGAGGAAACAUCAAGUUAUUAUAAAAAUAUGAAAUACUUAAAAAGAAAAUAUAAAAAAUUAGUAUAUUUAAAUCAACGUUUCAACUUUUAUCAAAACUUUAAAAACAUGCAAAAAUUAAACAUAAAUGAUAACUGUUUAUAUUGGAUUGAAUUAUUAAAUAUAUUAAAAGAAGAUAAUGUACCUCCAAAAAUUGUUUACUCAAAUGAAAUAAAAACAAUUAACCCUUGUGAAUAUUUUGAGUCAUCUCUUAUAUUUUCUUUUAGUGUUAUAAAAUUUAUUUCUCUAAUUUUAAAUUCGAAUAAACUAUAUAGCAUAUGUUUAUCAUAUUUAAAAAAUUCAAGCAAGCAUGAUAAACCCGAUAAAAUAUAUAAUGAACAAAACAUUCAUAUUGAAAAAAAUAAAAUGGAAGAAAUGUAUUUUAUACAAUCAUUAUUUACAUCAACCAAAUUAGAAGCCUUAUGCUCAUUUAUUAUUAAACAAGUAUGUACUUACUUGCAAAAUGAUAAAACACCUUUCCACUUACCUAUUAUCAAAACUUUAGCUAUUAUAUCCAUAUUAAAGCCUUCUUCCUAUUUUUUGAUUAAUUCAAAACGGAAGUAG